rnacentral:rRNA from 1 species
CCUACGGGAGGCAGCAGUGGGGAAUAUUGCACAAUGGGGGAAACCCUGAUGCAGCGACGCCGCGUGAGUGAAGAAGUAUUUCGGUAUGUAAAGCUCUAUCAGCAGGGAAGAAAAUGACGGUACCUGAUUAAGAAGCCCCGGCUAACUACGGGCCAGCAGCCGCGGUCAUACGUAGGGGGCAAGCGCUAUCCGGAGUUACUGGGUGUAAAGGGAGCGGAGGUGGCAGCACAAGUCUGGAGUGAAAUGCCGGGGCUUAACCCCGGAAAUGCUUUGGAAACUGGGCCGCUGGAGUGCAGGAGAGGUGAGUGGAAUUCCUGGUGUAGCGGUGAAAUGCGUAGAUAUUAGGAGGAACACCAGUGGCGAAGGCGGCUUACUGGACUGUAACUGACGUUGAGGCUCGAAAGCGUGGGGAGCAAACAGGAUUAGAUACCCCUGUAGUC